rnacentral:rRNA from 1 species
GGGUUGUGAGGUUAAGCGACUAAGCGUACACGGUGGAUGCCCUGGCAGUCAGAGGCGAUGAAGGACGUGCUAAUCUGCGAUAAGCGUCGGUAAGGUGAUAUGAACCGUUAUAACCGGCGAUUUCCGAAUGGGGAAACCCAGUGUGUUUCGACACACUAUCAUUAACUGAAUCCAUAGGUUAAUGAGGCGAACCGGGGGAACUGAAACAUCUAAGUACCCCGAGGAAAAGAAAUCAACCGAGAUUCCCCCAGUAGCGGCGAGCGAACGGGGAGCAGCCCAGAGCCUGAAUCAGUGUGUGUGUUAGUGGAAGCGUCUGGAAAGGCGCGCGAUACAGGGUGACAGCCCCGUACACAAAAAUGCACAUACUGUGAGCUCGAUGAGUAGGGCGGGACACGUGGUAUCCUGUCUGAAUAUGGGGGGACCAUCCUCCAAGGCUAAAUACUCCUGACUGACCGAUAGUGAACCAGUACCGUGAGGGAAAGGCGAAAAGAACCCCGGCGAGGGGAGUGAAAAAGAACCUGAAACCGUGUACGUACAAGCAGUGGGAGCCUCUUUUAUGGGGUGACUGCGUACCUUUUGUAUAAUGGGUCAGCGACUUAUAUUCUGUAGCAAGGUUAACCGAAUAGGGGAGCCGAAGGGAAACCGAGUCUUAACCGGGCGUUAAGUUGCAGGGUAUAGACCCGAAACCCGGUGAUCUAGCCAUGGGCAGGUUGAAGGUUGGGUAACACUAACUGGAGGACCGAACCGACUAAUGUUGAAAAAUUAGCGGAUGACUUGUGGCUGGGGGUGAAAGGCCAAUCAAACCGGGAGAUAGCUGGUUCUCCCCGAAAGCUAUUUAGGUAGCGCCUCGUGAAUUCAUCUCCGGGGGUAGAGCACUGUUUCGGCAAGGGGGUCAUCCCGACUUACCAACCCGAUGCAAACUGCGAAUACCGGAGAAUGUUAUCACGGGAGACACACGGCGGGUGCUAACGUCCGUCGUGAAGAGGGAAACAACCCAGACCGCCAGCUAAGGUCCCAAAGUCAUGGUUAAGUGGGAAACGAUGUGGGAAGGCCCAGACAGCCAGGAUGUUGGCUUAGAAGCAGCCAUCAUUUAAAGAAAGCGUAAUAGCUCACUGGUCGAGUCGGCCUGCGCGGAAGAUGUAACGGGGCUAAACCAUGCACCGAAGCUGCGGCAGCGACACUGUGUGUUGUUGGGUAGGGGAGCGUUCUGUAAGCCUGUGAAGGUGUGCUGUGAGGCAUGCUGGAGGUAUCAGAAGUGCGAAUGCUGACAUAAGUAACGAUAAAGCGGGUGAAAAGCCCGCUCGCCGGAAGACCAAGGGUUCCUGUCCAACGUUAAUCGGGGCAGGGUGAGUCGACCCCUAAGGCGAGGCCGAAAGGCGUAGUCGAUGGGAAACAGGUUAAUAUUCCUGUACUUGGUGUUACUGCGAAGGGGGGACGGAGAAGGCUAUGUUGGCCGGGCGACGGUUGUCCCGGUUUAAGCGUGUAGGCUGGUUUUCCAGGCAAAUCCGGAAAAUCAAGGCUGAGGCGUGAUGACGAGGCACUACGGUGCUGAAGCAACAAAUGCCCUGCUUCCAGGAAAAGCCUCUAAGCAUCAGGUAACAUCAAAUCGUACCCCAAACCGACACAGGUGGUCAGGUAGAGAAUACCAAGGCGCUUGAGAGAACUCGGGUGAAGGAACUAGGCAAAAUG